rnacentral:rRNA from 1 species
GCCUACGGCCAUACCACCCUGAAAGCGCCCGAUCUCGUCUGAUCUCGGAAGCUAAGCAGGGACGGGCCUGGUUAGUACUUGGAUGGGAGACCGCCUGGGAACACCUGGUGUUGUAGGCU